GGACUACCCGGGUAUCUAAUCCUGUUUGCUCCCCUAGCUUUCGUUCCUCAGCGUCAGUAAUGAUCCAGCUCGCCGCUUUCGCCACGGGUGUUCCUGCAGAUAUCUACGCAUUUCACCGCUACACCUGCAAUUCCACGAGCCUCUCUCACACUCUAGCACGGCAGUUUUGAAAGCAGUCUCUAGGUUAAGCCUAGAGAUUUCACUCCCAACUUGCCACACCGCCUACGAACCCUUUACGCCCAGUAAUUCCGAACAACGCUGGCCCCCUACGUAUUACCGCGGCUGCUGGCAC
rnacentral:rRNA from 1 species